CCAUUGCACUGAGUCAUGACAGCCCAAGCGAUGUCAAACUGCAUUUAUUCACGGUCUAAUUGCACCCUCUUGUCAUCUCGCUUUGGAGGAGUUCCAGUAGCAGAGGACGCCAUGAAGCGGGUCGGCCUGCAGGUGGCGCCCUAGAGCCUCCUCCUGCUGCUGCUUUAAAAAAGCGAAGGCGAGAAGGCGGCGUGAAUGAGCAUCGCUCGGCUGGGUCUGUGUGCGGACGUUUCGCUUCUGACCCGCAUUUUGCAGCUUCCUCUCUGCCGGCAGCCCUGGGAAGGAAGAUAUUUGAGGGAGAAGGGGUACCACUGCAGAGAGAGACCCCCUCCCCCCCAAUGGCUCCGUGGCAUCUUUGAUCCACAAGCCAGGAACGAUUCGGAUAUCGGAGAGGAAAGGCGAGCAGAGCAGUUCCAAAUCGUCUCCCAAAAGCCCGGACUUGGUUUGCUCAGACGCCGGAGAUGCCAGGGACGCGGAGGUGUUGUUUGACAAUGACAAUGACAUGGUCAGCCUGAAAGGACUUGGACAUUUAUCCAUUGUGCCAGCUGGGGUAAAUCACUGACAUUGCUGCAUCCAGCCUCCACUGCCCACUUUCCUUCAUCAUGGCCAAGAGUGCGGAAGUUAAACUGGCCAUCUUUGGUCGAGCUGGAGUGGGAAAGUCAGGUAAGUCUUUUUUCUUCUCCACAGUUCCUUACUAUGCUUUGUGUGCUAUGUUUUCAUUUUUACUGGAGUGUUUUGAAGGCAAGCCCAUGCAGGCAAGUAUGGGAUGA
rnacentral:lncRNA from 11 species